rnacentral:tRNA from 1 species
GGUUUGUGGCUCAGUGGCAGAGCACUUGCCUAGCAUGUGUGAGGCCCUGGGUUCCAUCCCCAGCACCA